rnacentral:misc_RNA from 1 species
UCUUCUUCAAGUAGCAAGCCUUCCGUUGGAUACAUAUCUGAAGCAGAAUGGCCUCACAAGCUUGGUAUCUGAGCAACAAGGAAGUUCAGCAUCACAAAUGCCAGCUCAAGCUGGGGAGAGUGAAGGACGACUUCCUGAGGAUUGUCAAUUUGUUUCAGCUGUGCAAGAGCAGAAGCAGGAGAGUGGAGGUGAAGAGAACCGUGGACCUGGACCAGAGCAAAGCCAAAAUGAUCCUGUAUGAGGUUAUAUUUUCUUUUUUUUUACAUUGCUUUUGUAUAAUUACCGGAGUCUAGGUCUUCUUCCAGGGAUGGGAAACAUUUUUGUUUCUUGUUUUCUUUUGUAGUUUGAUGUCUUUAUUCAUUGUAUAAUGUGUAUAAUACAAACCUGAAUUUUCUUUUAAAUAACUUAGGAUGGGGAUUCAUAUGAAUAUAUUUGGAGGUGUUGGGUAUAGUCAUAUGUUAGAAAUGUUUCAAGCAUAGUGAACAUCGAAACCAAUGAUUGACAAUGUUUUGUUUUUCGAGAGAGAAUGGUUGACAA